rnacentral:rRNA from 1 species
UACAGAGGUGGCAAGCGUUGUUCGGAAUUACUGGGCGUAAAGGGCGCGUAGGCGGCCAUCUAAGUCAGACGUGAAAUCCCCCGGCUUAACCUGGGAACUGCGUCUGAUACUGGACGGCUUGAGUAUGGGAGAGGGAUGUAGAAUUCCAGGUGUAGCGGUGAAAUGCGUAGAUAUCGAGAGGAACACCUGCGGCGAAGGCGGGUAGCUGGGCCGACACUGACGCUGAGGCGCGAAAGCCAGGGGAGCGAACGGG